UGGGGAAUAUUGCACAAUGGGCGAAAGCCUGAUGCAGCAACGCCGCGUGAGGGAAGACGGUCUUCGGAUUGUAAACCUUUGUCCUUGGUGACGAAAGAAUGACGGUAGCCGAGGAGGAAGCCACGGCUAACUACGUGCCAGCAGCCGCGGUAAUACGUAGGUGGCAAGCGUUAUCCGGAUUUACUGGGUGUAAAGGGCGCGUAGGCGGGAUGCAAGUCAGAUGUGAAAUCUAUGGGCUUAACCCAUAAACUGCAUUUGAAACUGUAUCUCUUGAGUGCUGGAGAGGUAGAUGGAAUUCCUGUGUAGCGGUGAAAUGCGUAGAUAUAAGGAAGAACACCAGUGGCGAAGGCGAUCUACUGGACAGUAACUGACGCUGAGGCGCGAAAGCGUGGGGAGCAAACAGGAUUAGAUACCCUGGUAGU
rnacentral:rRNA from 1 species